rnacentral:tmRNA from 1 species
CUGCCACAAUGAUGGGGUUCGAUUCCGAUCGAACUAGGUGAUCCACACCAGUGCUUCGGACAGCGGUUCGAUUCCGCUCAGCUCCAUUACCCCCUAUUGCAAGGGGCUGCAAUGGUUUCGACGGGGCAUCAGGCGGAUGACUGAAGCCUGCUCGGUGAGAGCAAAACCGUAACAGCGAACAACAUCGUUCGUUUCUCCCGUCAAGCCGCCCCCGUGGCCGCCUGACC